CCUACGGGAGGCAGCAGUGGGGAAUAUUGCACAAUGGGCGCAAGCCUGAUGCAGCCAUGCCGCGUGUGUGAAGAAGGCCUUCGGGUUGUAAAGCACUUUCAGCGGGGAGGAAGGCGGUGAGGUUAAUAACCUCAUCGAUUGACGUUACCCGCAGAAGAAGCACCGGCUAACUCCGUGCCAGCAGCCGCGGUAAUACGGAGGGUGCAAGCGUUAAUCGGAAUUACUGGGCGUAAAGCGCACGCAGGCGGUCUGUCAAGUCGGAUGUGAAAUCCCCGGGCUCAACCUGGGAACUGCAUUCGAAACUGGCAGGCUAGAGUCUUGUAGAGGGGGGUAGAAUUCCAGGUGUAGCGGUGAAAUGCGUAGAGAUCUGGAGGAAUACCGGUGGCGAAGGCGGCCCCCUGGACAAAGACUGACGCUCUGGUGCGAAAGCGUGGGGAGCAAACAGGAUUAGAUACCCUAGUAGUC
rnacentral:rRNA from 1 species